CCAGACUCCUACGGGAGGCAGCAGUGGGGAAUAUUGCACAAUGGGGGAAACCCUGAUGCAGCGACGCCGCGUGAGUGAAGAAGUAAUUCGUCAUGUAAAGCUCUAUCAGCAGGGAAGAAAAUGACGGUACCUGAGUAAGAAGCCCCGGCUAACUACGUGCCAGCAGCCGCGGUAAUACGUAGGGGGCAAGCGUUAUCCGGAUUUACUGGGUGUAAAGGGAGCGUAGACGGCAGUGCAAGUCUGGAGUGAAAGGCGGGGGCUCAACCCCCGGACUGCUCCGGAAACUGUGCAGCUAGAGUGCAGGAGAGGCAGGCGGAAUUCCUAGUGUAGCGGUGAAAUGCGUAGAUAUUAGGAGGAACACCGGUGGCGAAGGCGGCCUGCUGGACUGUAACUGACGUUGAGGCUCGAAAGCGUGGGGAGCAAACAGGAUUAGAUACCCCCGUAA
rnacentral:rRNA from 1 species